AACCUAGCACACCUGCGGUGUGUACCUGCGGAAGGAUCAUUAACCUUUCAAAUCAGGGUGCGGCGCGGCCCCCGAGGAGCGGAAACAAUCCUUGGGAGGUAUGCGGGGGCUUCGAGCCCCCCAUUUACGCACGCACGACUGCCAUCCUUACUUUACGAGCACCUUCUGUUCUCCCUCGGCGGGGCAACCUGCCGUUGGAACCGAAUAAACUCUUUUUGCAUCUAGCAUUACCUGUUCCGA
rnacentral:misc_RNA from 1 species